rnacentral:rRNA from 1 species
UACGUAGGGUGCGAGCGUUAAUCGGAAUUACUGGGCGUAAAGUGUGCGCAGGCGGCAGAGCAAGUCGAGUGUGAAAGCCCCGGGCUUAACUUGGGAAUUGCGCUCGAAACUACUUUGCUGGAGUGUGGCAGAGGAAGGUGGAAUUCCACGUGUAGCGGUGAAAUGCGUAGAGAUGUGGAGGAACGCCAAUGGCGAAGGCAGCCUUCUGGGCCAACACUGACGCUCAUGCACGAAAGCGUGGGGAGCAAACAGG